rnacentral:piRNA from 1 species
CACCAAGGUGUGACCACUUUGUAGAUGC